CGAGUUGCCGAGGCAAUCGCUCCGCAGAUUCUGCGGGGAGGAAAGUCCGAACACUCAGUUCUCUUUAUGAGAUCACGGGUAGCGGGUAACGCCCGUCCGGAGCAAUCCGAGAGGUGCGAGCAGAGACGCCUGUAUGCCGAAAGGCAUCAGGCACCCAGCCAUGUUGGCAGGGUGAGUCCCAUGGCGACAUGGGAAGUGAAACGGCUAAAUCCUUACCUGAGUGCAAGAGCAAACCAGAAGUUUUGCUAACCUGUAGAACUUCUGUGCAAAGGUAGCUUGCUUGAGCUAACUGGCAACAGUUGGCCCAGAUAGAUGAUUGUCACGGGUCACGUAGUGGCCCGACAGAAUUCGGCUUACUGACAACUCGUCGU
rnacentral:RNase_P_RNA from 1 species